rnacentral:lncRNA from 1 species
GGCUUGGCUGAUCAACUUCAGAUCCUUGUUACAGUUUUAUUUUUAUUUUAUUUUAUUAUUUCUUUUAAAUUUUUUAUACUUGAAUUUUAAUUUCAAUUAAUGCAAAAUUUAUUUUUCUAUACUUUAAAUUCCUGUCUUUUAUUUUUUGCACGUAGAUGCUAGGAUUUAAUUAGUAGAUCUUAGUACCUAAUUUAUUUUUAUACUUUUUAAAUUUUUAUUAUUUAUUUUUAUUAUAAGUAGAUGCUAAGAUUUAGUUAGUAGA